rnacentral:rRNA from 1 species
AGCGAACGCUGGCGGCAGGCUUAACACAUGCAAGUCGAGCGGGCGUAGCAAUACGUCAGCGGCAGACAGGUGAGUAACGCGUGGGAACGUACCUUUUGGUUCGGAACAACACAGGGAAACUUGUGCUAAUACCGGAUAAGCCCUUACGGGGAAAGAUUUAUCGCCGAAAGAUCGGCCCGCGUCUGAUUAGCUAGUUGGUGAGGUAACGGCUCACCAAGGCGACGAUCAGUAGCUGGUCUGAGAGGAUGAUCAGCCACAUUGGGACUGAGACACGGCCCAAACUCCUACGGGAGGCAGCAGUGGGGAAUAUUGGACAAUGGGCGCAAGCCUGAUCCAGCCAUGCCGCGUGAGUGAUGAAGGCCCUAGGGUUGUAAAGCUCUUUUGUGCGGGAAGAUAAUGACGGUACCGCAAGAAUAAGCCCCGGCUAACUUCGUGCCAGCCGCCGCAGUAAUAC